CUGCCGCCUCGCCUUCCCCAAGCGCAGGCUUUGUGGGUUUUUGCGAAAACGCGCGUCCAGGAAGGCGGAGAGAGGCGGCAGAACUGAGUUCUGUUAGACGCAGUCAUCGGAGGGUUUGCAGUGCACUGAGAGCUGAAGGAUGGAACUAUCUCCGCUUUUUAUGCCAGUCUCAUUAACAGCCGCCAAGACAGAUGCGGGGCCCUCAACAGCAGUCCUUCUUCUUCGCAUCCAAAGAAUGGCAGAGAAAGUUAAGAAGCCGAAAUGAGGAGGCACAAAGUUAGCAUCUUUAUUUUAUAGCAGCUUGGCUAGACUUUGAAGUCUACAUUUUCUGUCUGCACGUGUGUUGUCUUCUGGCUUCCAUAGCUGAUACUGAGAAGGCUGUUUCCAAUUGGACUGUUGUUGUUUUGCAGCUUGACUGAGCGGCUCUUUGAGAGCAUGGACCAUGACAUACAUCUGCUGGGGUGUCCUCAUGGCGAGGUUCAGAAGCACGGCGCUGAAUCGUAGGCUCCAUCCGUGGCCGUCCAUCUUUGGUGUUAAUACUUUCUGGGACAGUUGUUUGCCACUCUGGGACCCCUUAUGUGACAGCUCCAUUUGCACCAGCAUGAAAUGUCCCUCCCCGGCUGCAUUCUAGAACCCGGAACCUCCAAAGUAAGACCUAAGCCUGCCUUCACCUGGUGGGGUUAUCUGCUUCCCUGCCUGGACUCCUGUCCAGACCAAGAACGGCACCUUCCUCAUAUGCCUUGGCUCCUGGCACCGAGUUCCUCCUGCCUGUGCUCUCAACAUAACACUAGCGUGGGGGAGCCCCAAGAGAAUCGGGUUCUCAACACCAAGCAUGGUUAUUUCUGGUGAAGUACAGACCACGCAAACCAUGUCUUUAUUUAUGCCACCGAGCCUGCAUUAGCUCCCUUACCAAACCUGGAAUCCAAGUGGCUCCUCUUGAGCAACUUGCCUCCCAACAGCCCCGGUCACCUUCACAUGGAUAGUGGCCAAGGAAGGCUUUUCUCAUUCCGCCGUCAUAACGGUGGCUUUCUUGUUCAGUGUAGCUGUGGGAAACUAUUUCGUCUCUGUUUUUUGCCAGGAGACUGGAUCAUUCAUCUGACAAUAAAGAGAAAUUCCAACCUGAAGGAUUUUGACCACAGAGGAAAAGAACUUCCUGAAAGUUCUCUUUCAGGAAGAAUGAUGGGAUGUCCCUGGGGCCAAGAAUCAAAAGUUGUGUUCUUGGCCUCAACCCUGUCUGGCUGCCAUGCUCCUUGUCAGUAGCAUGGAAUUUACCUCAGCGUGAUCUUGUAAGGAUUAUAGGAGGGGGAAAGGCUUUCCUAGAAGAGAGAAAGCCUCCUCUCCUUAUAAUCUUGAAUGGACGGCUGAAGGAUACUAUACAGUUUUAGGAACUUUUCCCAUAAAACCACAUUGACUUUCAGAAAAUUAGCUCUCCUGUCACUAGCUAGUGGGAACCUCAGUUCACAAACUCAUUGGGGUGUAAGAAAUGCUAUUUUUUAAUUCCCCUAAAUCCAAUUCUGAAUCUCUGUUAGUUUCCUAGGCCUGACGUAAUGAAGUACCCUCAAGCUGAGUGGCUUAUACAAUAGGAAUGUCUCACAGUUCUGGAGUUUGUGGUGUUUCUCCCUGUGCCCCUGUUUCUGUUGUUCCACAUUUCCGUCUUUUAAGGAUACAGUCAUAUUGGCUUAGGGCCCACCCUAGUGAUCUCACUUUAACUUGUAACUUAAUUUUUUUUCUAAGAGAACCGAUGAGCUGGGGAGAGGCACGAGGGAGGGAGAGAGAU